rnacentral:rRNA from 1 species
UACGUAGGGUGCGAGCGUUAAUCGGAAUUACUGGGCGUAAAGCGUGCGCAGGCGGUAAUGUAAGACAGAUGUGAAAUCCCCCGGGCUUAACCUGGGACCUGCAUUUGUGACUGCAUUGCUGGAGUGCGGCAGAGGGGGAUGGAAUUCCGCGUGUAGCAGUGAAAUGCGUAGAUAUGCGGAGGAACACCGAUGGCGAAGGCAAUCCCCUGGGCCUGCACUGACGCUCAUGCACGAAAGCGUGGGGAGCAAACAGG